rnacentral:lncRNA from 1 species
AUGAUACUGCUGUUAUUCCAUUACCCAUUUGGAACCUCUCCUGGACAUUUCUGUUUUCAUCAGCUUCCCUUCAGAAAGAAAAACAGGAGAAAAUUGGAGUUCCCGUUGGUGUUCUUUCCGGAUCUCCUUUAUGUCGCAUCUGAGCACCAUCCCCCGUGCUGUAUCCACUGGAAUGACCCUCUUCACAGAACUACCUGCAGUCUUGACAAAACCAAACGAACGAAAAGCCUCCAGCUUUCCUCAGAGAUCUUAGCCAACGUCUUAUAAGGAUAGAAAGGGCCAGCUCCUUGUGUCAGAGGAAUCCAGCUGUGGGGUGCUGUUCCUGCACAGCACUUUUCUGUGCGAUUAGACAGAAGCUGAUGACCAGUAGAGACGACUUCCCUGCUGAGUUUCUAUUUCCUGUCUUGCUCUGCUUCCUUAUGCACCCCCUUCUCCCUGGAGAUACUCCCUCAGUAAUCAUUGGAAAAUAACUUCCAUUUCAGGCUUUACUUCUAGUUAGCUGAAGACAAAACUCCAUCUAAUAUGAGAAAAAAAGGGACAAAUAUAUACAUAUAUGAAACAUUUUAUGAACUGCAGACUACUACAAAAUUUUUAAAUAUGUAAAAUUAUAAAGCAAGUAAAGAGAUCAGUGUUUUUAUUCCUUUCUCCUAAAACUACCACCUUUUCGGAACUUGACUACUUGUCCCUUCUUUCUCAAAUGUCAACAUAAGAAACUAACAAAUGCAGUCAGCCCUACUUAUCUUUGGGUUCUCCAUCCACAAAUUCAACUAAACUCAUUCAAAAAUAUCCAGGAAAUAUUGUGUCUGUAUGAAUAUGUAUAAACUUUUGUGUGCUGUUCUCCUAAACAAUGUAGUAUUACAAUUUUCAUGAAAUUUACAUUGUACUAAGUAUUAUAAAUAAUAGAGAAACGAUUGAAAGUACACAGGAAGAAAUGUGUCAAUUACAGUACUAUGUAUUAUGUAGAUUAUCAAUACUGUGCCAUUUUUUGUAAGGGGCAUGAGCGUCUGCAAAUUUUAGUAUCCACUAGGAGUCCUGGAACCAAUCCUACAAUGAUAUGGAGGGAUGACUGUACGUUUAUAACUGGGUUACUAGGCCAGUGAGCCAAAGUCUUGUGGCCUUGAGAUCAUGAGUCAUACAAGAGUCUGAAAAGAAAACACAGUGAAUGUGAUUAGACUGCCUUGGUUGUAGUGGCUUAGUCUGGGUGAAUAUAUUUCACUAACUUAGAGGUAUUUGAUGCUUUUUUUCCUUGAGUACCUCCAAAAUAACUUUAAUUAUAUUUUAGUUGUAAAGUUUUGAAUUGAGAGUUUAUUAAACAUAAUUGCUAAUUUCCAGCAUAUUGUAUAUUGCACUUGCAGGUUAACUAUUUUUAAUCAAAAUAUUAGCAUGGCAAAUUUAAUUUAGAGAAAAUGUCUGCCAAAAAGCUUAGUUGGAAAAGCCAAUUUUUGAUUCUGAAACCGAUAAUCUAAAGUUGACUUUUCUAUAGAAAAAUAAACCACUGAUUUUGCCUUUAAAUUCCA